UAUUGAGCGAUGACAAUUAUCUAAUGUACAGCGACCGUAUUGAUUAUUGCAGACGAAAAACUAAUAUCUAUUUUAAAAGAAUAUUUGAUAUUUGUUUUCUCAUUAUAUACCGCAUUGAAUUGUAUGGAAUAUUCUGAAACGUAGUAAAAUAAACUUAAGGAAGUUUGCUUUAAAAUAUACAGACAUAGCGCUAGAGAUGAAACAGCUCCUUACUUAUGAACUAUGAAUACCGGCUAUAACAGGUUUUAAGUGUUUAAAUUCAGAUGCGUAAAGAAAGGGUUUUCCAAGACGGCUGCCGCUUUGUUUGUCAAUGUGCGAAAGCAACGUGAAUAUAGGCACAUGAUCCACGUAUAGAACCUAAACGACGAAUGAAAUGUUGGAGAGGUACCGCCGUUCAAACAAUGAUAAGACUGGCACCAUCUAAGGUUUGUCGAGUUGUAUGUGCCUGUGUUGUACUUUUCAACAUAGCGAUCUUAUUGAAUGAGCCAGAACUUACUGACUGGAACCAGGAUGACCCUAUAGACCUGGAAAAUGAAGACAUAGCAGAUUCAGAAAGAGAUGGCAGCACUGUUUGAAAUUUUAUUGUUCAUCAAGUUUUUCCAUAUAACUCAGAAAAAUAAAUAGAAAUUCAGCUGUCAAAUUAUAAAGACGCUGUAAUGAACCUAGUAUCAGAAUAUUAUUGUUCGCUUAUCAAAUUUAGAAGUUCUCUUUAGCUCAUUCAUCUUGCUUUCAACCGCUUCCAAAAUCCUGAGCUUCACUUUAAAUAACUCCUUCUCUAAUCCCUGUUCAACCAUUCCCUAAAAAUAUCAUAUUUGAUAGUCCACCAAGACAUCAUUCCUACUUCUCUUAACGCGUCUGGUACAAGGCCUAUAACGAUAAAUUGCGUUUAUUAUAAAUGCAAAAUAUUUCAAAUAUUGAUUCAACACAACAUUUAUUGUUGUUUUGUUUUUUUUUUGUCAUAAUUAAGGAAGACAACUGUAGAACAUUGGGGUAGUAUUUAUAAUGCCUAUAAUAUAACCAAAUAUUUUAUGUUACAUAUCCAACACAGUCCUGACUUACUACUUGCAAUAGGAGUUUGCAUUUUACAUUUAAAUAUCCAUGCAAUUUAUGCUGAAUUCACACUAAUAUUUUAUUUUAUAUAGUGCAGACCAGAUAAGCAUUAACAAAAUCACAAGGCUUCAGAAGACCAAACUUAAUGAAAGGAUUUCAGUUUUGGCCCAUUUGCACAUACAUCUAUAUUGUACUAAAAGAAAUUUGUUUUUAAAUCUGGGGUUUUAACAUAUUUGCACUAGACUAAGAUGCUAUUGUCUUAAAUAAUCAUACAAUUUUGAUUCAGAAAUGAUAACUCUAUGGCUUAAAUCUAUUAUGAUUUUUGCAGAUAAAAUAAAAUGUGUAAGUCAUUUAUUACACAGUUAUAUUUUAAGAUUAAGGAGAGGCAUAUUGCUUCAUUUAUCCAGAGAUAUUUCUAUUUAUCAUUUACAUCAACAGCUGUAACUUCUUUCAUAUGUGAUAUCAUUAUGACAUUUUGCAAUUAUGAUAUGUACCUGGUGUCUGUGUUAACCACUAUAUGUUACUUGAAUUUCAUGUAGUAGAAACAGUUAAGCAUCAGUUCAUCUACUAACUCUUUCUGAAUUUAUGCCACAGUCUUUGAACCUUCAUGAGAUUCUACAUGCAGUGUGACAGGAGCAGGAGACUGUAUAUUAAUAGAACUGACAUCAGAUUCCGUGUUUAGUUACGGAUCUGAAUCUUGACUGAAAUGUAAUGGAUGAAUAUGUAUAAUUACGAACAAAGAUCACCAUGAUUAAAUAAUUUCACACAAGUAGUCUUAGCACUGCUCAUGGUUUUUGCAAUACUGUCAGAUAAUAUAAAAUAUUCAAUUAUAUGUCUAGCACCAUUCAUAAUAUCAGUAUUUUUAGAAAGAUGACUUGGGAGCAUAUACGUAAGUUUAAGUAAUAGAAAAAGCAUUGAAACUCGAGGGUGAACGAUCUGUACUAAGGGGGGAGGGGGUGCUCAUUAUGUACUGUAAUGCAAAGGUCAACCAAUGGGGUCAAGUUGCGUCUAUUAUUAUCAAGUUUCGCGUUUGGAAAGUAGAAAAACAUACAUUGAUUUCCCAAACGGGAAGUUCACCCUUCUGAUGUUUAUUACAUGGCAGAACGAAAAAACUAUAUUACAUUUUUCUUCAAGCUCAAGUUUUGACCAUUCAAUAGCUAUAAACUAUGGACAAGCAUUUUGUAU